AUUGAACGCUGGCGGCAGGCCUAACACAUGCAAGUCGAGCGGUAGAGAGGUGCUUGCAUCUCUUGAGAGCGGCGGACGGGUGAGUAAUGCCUAGGAAUCUGCCUAGUGGUGGGGGAUAACGUUCGGAAACGGACGCUAAUACCGCAUACGUCCUACGGGAGAAAGCGGGGGAUCUUCGGACCUCGCGCCAUUAGAUGAGCCUAGGUCGGAUUAGCUAGUUGGUGAGGUAAUGGCUCACCAAGGCGACGAUCCGUAACUGGUCUGAGAGGAUGAUCAGUCACACUGGAACUGAGACACGGUCCAGACUCCUACGGGAGGCAGCAGUGGGGGAAUAUUGGACAAUGGGCGAAAGCCUGAUCCAGCCAUGCCGCGUGUGUGAAGAAGGUCUUCGGAUUGUAAAGCACUUUAAGUUGGGAGGAAGGGUAGUAACCUAAUACGUUGCUACUUUGACGUUACCGACAGAAUAAGCACCGGCUAACUUCGUGCCAGCAGCCG
rnacentral:rRNA from 1 species